GGCCCAUGUGGCACAGUGGUAGUGUGACUACCUGCGAUGUAAAAUGGUUCGGGUUCGAUUCUCGGUGGGCCA